AGAGUUUGAUCCUGGCUCAGAACGAACGCUGGCGGCGCGUCUUAAGCAUGCAAGUCGAACGGUAAGGGAGAGCUUGCUCUCCCCUAGAGUGGCGGACUGGUGAGUAACGCGUGGGUGACCUGCCCUGAAGAUGGGGAUAGCUAGUAGAAAUAUUAGAUAAUACCGAAUGUGCUCAUUUACAUAAAGGUAAAUGAGGAAAGGAGCUACGGCUCCGCUUCAGGAUGGGCCCGCGUCCCAUUAGCUAGUUGGUGAGGUAAAGGCUCACCAAGGCAACGAUGGGUAUCCGGCCUGAGAGGGUGAACGGACACAUUGGGACUGAGAUACGGCCCAAACUCCUACGGGAGGCAGCAGCUAAGAAUAUUCCGCAAUGGACGGAAGUCUGACGGAGCGACGCCGCGUGGAUGAAGAAGGCUGAAAAGUUGUAAAAUCCUUUUGUUGAUGAAGAAUAAGGGUGAGAGGGAAUGCUCAUCUGAUGACGGUAAUCGACGAAUAAGCCCCGGCUAAUUACGUGCCAGCAGCCGCGGUAACACGUAAGGGGCGAGCGUUGUUCGGAAUUAUUGGGCGUAAAGGGCAUGUAGGCGGUUAUGUAAGCCUGAUGUGAAAUCCUGGGGCUUAACCCUAGAAUAGCAUUGGGUACUGUAUAACUUGAAUUACGGAAGGGAAACUGGAAUUCCAAGUGUAGGGGUGGAAUCUGUAGAUAUUUGGAAGAACACCGGUGGCGAAGGCGGGUUUCUGGCCGAUGAUUGACGCUGAUAUGCGAAGGUGCGGGGAGCAAACAGGAUUAGAUACCCUGGUAGUCCGCACAGUAAACGAUGUACACUAGGUGUCGGGGCAAGAGCUUCGGUGCCGUAAGCAAACGCAUUAAGUGUACCGCCUGGGAAGUAUGCCCGCAAGGGUGAAACUCAAAGGAAUUGACGGGGGCCCGCACAAGCGGUGGAGCAUGUGGUUUAAUUCGAUGAUACGCGAGGAACCUUACCAAGGUUUAAAUGGAGACUGACGUACUUAGAGAUAGGUAUUUCUUCGGACAGUUUUCAAGGUGCUGCAUGGUUGUCGUCAGCUCGUGCCGUGAGGUGUCAGGUUAAGUCCUAUAACGAGCGCAACCCCUGCCAUUAGUUGCUAGCGAGUCAAGUCGAGCACUCUAGUGGGACUGCCGGUGCAAACCGUGAGGAAGGUGGGGAUGACGUCAAAUCAUCACGGCCCUUACAUCUUGGGCUACACACGUGCUACAAUGGUCGUUACAGAGAGCAGCCACUGCGUGAGCAGGCGCGAAUCUAUAAAGACGGUCACAGUUCGGAUCGGAGUCUGCAACUCGACUCCGUGAAGCUGGAAUCGCUAGUAAUCGGAUAUCAGCCAUGAUCCGGUGAAUACGUUCCCGGGCCUUGUACACACCGCCCGUCAAGCCAUGGAAGCUGGGGGUACCUGAAGACGGUCACCGCGAGGAGCUGUUUAGGGUAAAACUAGUGACUGGGGCUAAGUCGUAACAAGGUAGCCGUACCGGAAGGUGCGGCUG
rnacentral:rRNA from 1 species